rnacentral:rRNA from 1 species
CAUGGCCAGAUGAGGAAAGGAUUCCGCUUCGGGAGGGCCUCGCGUCCUAUCAGCUUGUUGGUGAGGUAACGGCUCACCAAGGCGCCGACGGGUAGCUGGUCUGAGAGGACGAUCAGCCACACUGGGACUGAGACACGGCCCAGACUCCUACGGGAGGCAGCAGUGGGGAAUCUUGCGCAAUGGGCGAAAGCCUGACGCAGAUACGCCGCGUGCGGGAUGACGGCCCUCGGUUUGUAAGCCGCUUUCAGUGGGGACGAAACCAGACGGUACCCACAGAAGAAGCCCCGGCCAACUACGUGCCAGCAGCCGCGGUAACACGUAGGGGGCGAGCGUUGUCCGGAAUCAUUGGGCGUAAAGAGCUCGUAGGCGGCUCAGUAAGUCGGGUGUGAAACCCUCAGGCUCAACCUGGGGACGCCACCCGAUACUGCUGUGGCUAGAGUCCAGUAGAGGGGUGUGGAAUUCCCGGUGUAGCGGUGAAAUGCGCAGAUAUCGGGAGGAACACCAACGGCGAAGGCAGCACUCUGGGCUGGAACUGACGCUGAGGAGCGAAAGCGUGGGUAGCAAACAGGAUUAGAUACCCUGGUAGUCCACGCCGUAAACGUUGGGCACUAGGUGUGAGGACCCUCCAACGGUUUCCGUGCCGUAGCUAACGCAUUAAGUGCCCC